rnacentral:rRNA from 1 species
CACCCGAUCCCAUCCCGAACUCGGCCGUGAAAAGCCUCCGCGCCAAUGGUACUGCGUCUUAAGACGUGGGAGAGUAGGUCGCCGCCAGGU